AUUUACAGUUAAAAAAAAAUAUUUUGAAAACAUUACCACAUAUAUGUUAUUUUGGUUUUUGUACUUAAUUUUACAAAAGAUAAUUAUACAAUGGAGAGUUAUACAGCAUCUUGUUAUGAAUUUCUCCUUAAUAAAAGUAUCAGAGUGCAGAAAAUUUGGAUUGAAGCAUGUAUUGAAUGGGUUCAAGAAGAGCAAAAGAAAUUGCCACUGAAACAUGAGCUGUUCAGCAUUCUUUAUGAGCAAUGGUUAAUGGCUGACUUAAGAGAAGUUGCAGAGGGAGUUCUUCCAUCUUCAUUAAAUAAAGGAACACAUACAUUAAAUGGAUUAUUUGCAUUGCAGGUGAAUUCUGCAGUAGAUAUAGGUCAUUCAGCAUACUCACAGCUACAAAAGACUAAAGGACAAGAAAUCAUUGAUACAGGUAAUGAAGAUAUCAAUGAAUUCUUUAGCAAAGGAGCAAAUGACAAAGCAUCAAUUAUUGACACUAAAUGGAAAGAAGUAUCAUCACAAAUGUUAUUGCUUGAUAUCACUGAUGGUUCAAGUACUGUCGAAGCAAUUGAGUAUCAACCAUUUAAAGAAAUAAAUCAGGAUAGUUUCCAGCCUGGUUGUAAGGUAUUGAUCAAGGGUCCAGUUCAAUGUAGAAACAAUCUUAUACUGUUGAAGCAAGAAAAUAUUCAAUUAUUGGGUGGAAAUGUAGAAAGCUUAUUGGAGAGCAAUACCAUUGAAAAUUUGCUCUGUAAAGUACUAAAAACGGACCAUGACACUGACAUAAAGCCAAAUGUUAGAAGUGAAUCAAAUAAUAAAGGUGAUAUAAAGAAAGAAACUAAUGAAAAAGUGUUACAUAAGAAUAACAAAAAUAAAACAUCAGAAAAAAUAUUUUCUGUCGAUAAUAAAAAUAUAAACAUUCCAAUGAACAAAGAUAUAAUAAAUUGUAAUUUGGCUGCGAAACAAUAUACAUUACCAAAAAAAAAUCAAAGUUUAAGUAAGUCUAUCAAAACAGAAAUAGCAGAUGACUUUUUUGAAAAUGAUAUGCUUGAUAACUUUCCUCUAGAAGAUUUGGGGCUGCUAGAAUAUUCUCAACCAAAAAGUGCUAAAUUGAACUUAAUAGAAAAAAAAGUAAAUAAAACUUCCAGCAUCUCUCCAAAACAAUGUUUCUUAAAAAAUAAGGUUUUGUGCUCAAAUGCAACAUUAAAUAAAAACAAUAACUCACAUUUAAAUGAUAAUAACUUCAAUAAGAAAUAUGAACAAGAUAAUAUAGAUUGUGAAUUAGAUGUUGAUGCUGAUUUAUUCUUAGAUGAUGUUGAUAUAAUUUCAAAUUUAAACUGCAAGAUAUCAAAAGAUAAAACUAGUUGCAAAACAUCUAGUAAUCAAACAAAAAUAGAGGAAAGUGAGGCCAAGACUAAGGUGGAAUCAAACUAUAACAGUUUGUACAGGAAUCAAAAAGAUAGUUCAUGUGCAAAAGAUUUCCACAUGGCUGAAAAAGAGUAUGACAGUUUAUCAGAUUUUGUUGAAAAUAAUUCAGUCAACACUGUACUAAAUGUUAAAUGUUGGUUUCAAACUUUAACUUCAAAAUUAGAGUUUCAAGAUUUUUUUAAAAUAUCAGGAAUAAUCACAGAUGGAAUCAAAAAUAUUGAAGUGGUAUUGACUGACAAGAGUUUCAAGAGAAACCUUCACUGCAAUGUUGUUUCACAAAGAAACAAGUUGAGGGCAAUACUACCAUAGAUGUGGUGGGGAUUAAACUCAAUGCUUCUUGCUCAUAAAAUAAGCACUCUACUAUUAGAAAUUGAACAAUGUGUUAUUUUCUAUUAUUGGAUAUUCUUCAAAAGAAGUUUUGGAAGCUGUAAAUGGAAAAUUACCGUCAUCACGUAAAUCGAGCAUAAAACAGGCACUUAAAAAUGCAGAACAGCGUUU
rnacentral:misc_RNA from 1 species